rnacentral:rRNA from 1 species
AUUGAACGCUGGCGGCAUGCUUUACACAUGCAAGUCGAACGGCAGCACGGGCUUCGGCCUGGUGGCGAGUGGCGAACGGGUGAGUAAUAUAUCGGAACGUACCCAGAAGUGGGGGAUAACGUAGCGAAAGUUACGCUAAUACCGCAUACGAUCUAUGGAUGAAAGAGGGGACCGCAAGGCCUUGUGCUCCUGGAGCGGCCGAUAUCUGAUUAGCUAGUUGGUGAGGUAAAGGCUCACCAAGGCGACGAUCAGUAGCUGGUCUGAGAGGACGACCAGCCACACUGGAACUGAGACACGGUCCAGACUCCUACGGGAGGCAGCAGUGGGGAAUUUUGGACAAUGGGCGCAAGCCUGAUCCAGCAAUGCCGCGUGAGUGAAGAAGGCCUUCGGGUUGUAAAGCUCUUUUGUCAGGGAAGAAACGGUAGAGGCUAAUAUCCUUUGCUAAUGACGGUACCUGAAGAAUAAGCACCGGCUAACUACGUG